UCAGGUCCCCCAUCACCUCCACAGCUGGGGCUGACGGAUUCCCUGAUACCACCCCAUUUGGACUGUGCAUUCAGAGCUGGUCCCAUGUUCAGCUCCUGUGCCUGGGAGCUGUGUGGAUUUGGAAAGAUUUGUCACCUCUCUGUGCCAUCAGCGGGUGAAUGAGUAAACGAUGGUAUGUAUCCUUCUGUGGAAAUCCACUUAGCAACUCCACGGAGCAGACCCAUGGCCUAACUCUACCCCUAACUGCAUGAACACGUCUCCAAAACACCACGAAUGUCCUGGCUACCUGACUCUUGGUGGGGCAUAUGACUAUUUCAGACAGAGAAGAGAGUGGAAGGAAUGUGUCAUUUAUGAAGUCUGCACCUCAAAUGCUUGGAGGAGCCAGGCACCAAACCAAAGUGAGUGAAGUGUGCCAGGUGGGGCCAGUGACAACUCAUGAUCUCAUGCUCCUUCUGAAGGACAGCUACAGCUUGGUGUCAAUGGUCACCACUGCCAGAUCACCCAGUUCUCUGCAAAGAAGCCAGAUAGCUGUAU